GGAGAGGUGACUGAGAGGCCGAAAGUGGCAGAUUGCUAAUCUGUUGAGUGGAUAACAUCUGCUCCGCGGGUUCGAAUCCCGCCCUCUCCG
rnacentral:tRNA from 1 species